UUGGCUCAGAACGAACGCUGGCGGCAGGCCUAACACAUGCAAGUCGAACGGUAGCACAGAGAGCUUGCUCUCGGGUGACGAGUGGCGGACGGGUGAGUAAUGUCUGGGAAACUGCCUGAUGGAGGGGGAUAACUACUGGAAACGGUAGCUAAUACCGCAUAACGUCGCAAGACCAAAGAGGGGGACCUUCGGGCCUCUUGCCAUCAGAUGUGCCCAGAUGGGAUUAGCUAGUAGGUGGGGUAACGGCUCACCUAGGCGACGAUCCCUAGCUGGUCUGAGAGGAUGACCA
rnacentral:rRNA from 1 species